AGAGUUUCGAUCCUGCUCAGGAUGAACGCUGGCGGCGUGCCUAACACAUGCAAGUCGAACGGCUUAAAUUUGAACCUAGUGAUAAUUAAGUGAGUGGCGGACGGGUGAGUAACGCGUGGAUAACCUGCCGUAUGCAGGGGGAUACCAACUGGAAACAGUUGCUAAUACCGCAUAAGCGCACGGUGUCGCAUGACACAGUGUGAAAAGGUUUAACGGCAUACGAUGGAUCCGCGUCCGAUUAGCCAGUUGGCGGGGUAACGGCCCACCAAAGCGACGAUCGGUAGCCGGCCUGAGAGGGCGGACGGCCACAUUGGGACCGAGACACGGCCCAAACUCCUACGGGAGGCAGCAGUGGGGAAUAUUGCACAAUGGGGGAAACCCUGAUGCAGCGACGCCGCGUGAGUGAAGAAGUGUUUCGGUAUGUAAAGCUCUAUCAGCAGGGAAGAAAGGUGCCCCUUGGGCGCCUGGACAGUACCUGACUAAGAAGCCCCGGCUAACUACGUG
rnacentral:rRNA from 1 species